rnacentral:rRNA from 1 species
UACGAAGGGGGCUAGCGUUGCUCGGAAUCACUGGGCGUAAAGGGCGCGUAGGCGGCCAUUCAAGUCGGGGGUGAAAGCCUGUGGCUCAACCACAGAAUUGCCUUCGAUACUGUUUGGCUUGAGACCGGAAGAGGUUAGUGGAACUGCGAGUGUAGAGGUGAAAUUCGUAGAUAUUCGCAAGAACACCAGUGGCGAAGGCGGCUAACUGGUCCGGUUCUGACGCUGAGGCGCGAAAAGCGUGGGGAGCAAACAGG